CUCCUCUCCAUGGAUAUUAGGAAGAAUAUCCCAGGAUGGGUGUACACCUCCUGCUGUAUGGGGAGUCAUAUCGUCCUCUCCCUUCCUGGCUACUAGGAACAAUUUCAGAGGGUGGGUGUACACAGCCUGCGAUAUUCUCAUUUACGACCCAAAACGGGGAUCCAAAUGCCCCUGAGAGAGCAGCGGUAUACUUGGAUAGAGGAGGAUGGUCACGUAGUGGAGAGGCGUGUUUCUGGGUACCAGCCCUUCACCUCUGCCGACCUUCUCAACUGGGAAAACAAUACACCGCCCUCUACCGAAAAGCCACAAACCCUAAUUGAUUGGCUCCAAACUGUUAUCCAGACCCACAACACCAUCUGGGCUGAUUGCCACCAGUGGCUCAUGUUCCUCUUUAACAGAGAUGAAAGGUGGAGAGUCCUCCAA
rnacentral:lncRNA from 1 species